rnacentral:rRNA from 1 species
GAGUGAUGAAGGCCCUAGGGUUGUAAAGCUCUUUUGUGCGGGAAGAUAAUGACGGUACCGCAAGAAUAAGCCCCGGCUAACUUCGUGCCAGCAGCCGCGGUAAUACGAAGGGGGCUAGCGUUGCUCGGAAUCACUGGGCGUAAAGGGUGCGUAGGCGGGUCUUUAAGUCAGGGGUGAAAUCCUGGAGCUCAACUCCAGAACUGCCUUUGAUACUGAGGAUCUUGACU